AUUGAACGCUGGCGGCAGGCCUAACACAUGCAAGUCGAGCGAGCGGCGGACGGGUGAGUAAUGUAUGGGAAACUGCCCGAUAGAGGGGGAUAACUACUGGAAACGGUAGCUAAUACCGCAUACUCUCGGCUGUGCCCAUAUGGGAUUAGCUAGUAGGUGGGGUAAAGGCUCACCUAGGCGACGAUCUCUAGCUGGUCUGAGAGGAUGACCAGCCACACUGGGACUGAGACACGGCCCAGACUCCUACGGGAGGCAGCAGUGGGGAAGAUUGCACAAUGGGCGCAAGCCUGAUGCAGCCAGGCCGCGUGUAUGAAGAAGGCCUUAGGGUUGGAAAGUACUUUCAGCGGGGAGGCGUUACCCGCAGAAGAAGCACCGGCUAACUCCGUGCCAGCAGCCGCGGUAAUAC
rnacentral:rRNA from 1 species